GACAAGAUGGACAUAUUUAGGAUGUGAGAGGAAACCAGAGUAUCCUGUUUUGGCCCUUCUCACAAGUUUAGGAUGCUCCAAGAAAGUACUCUUUCACAGAUAGAAUUACUGCACUGGAAGCUGAAAGAUCAUCUACUGCUACUGCAUUUUGUUGGCACCUGAUCUUGGACUGUCAUUGCUAUUUGAAAAACAUGGCAGAUCAUUAUUUUCAUCAGUUAUAACAAAAUCAAACACUUUCAAAAUAACGUGGAAGUCUAGCUGGUGGUAUCGCCAUAAGAGGAACAUCUGGAGAAAUUUCUGAAACGCUCGUUUACUGCUAUCGUUACUGCAUGGUCGGGAAUCUUUCAGAGGGUAGGCCUCAAAAUCCCCGGCCUUGCCUGCUUUUGGUGACCGAGAAGGAGGUUGAAUCGUUCGGGCAGAGAUGGCGCUCAGUACCCGGUGUCGGAGAGCUGAUCAGAGCUCGAAGUUUUUGGAUGACUCCGAGUCGGAUUGUGGUUGGCAUGGCAGGGAGAGUUUUUCUUCCCUCUCCCGACUGCGUGAGAUGAGGGACAUUAGAGAGACUUUGAACUUUACUGUGGCUCAUGGACUUCUUUAUCAAGUUAUGGUAUUGUUGCACUGUUGUAACUAUAUGUUAUAAUUAUGUGGUUUUGUCAGCUUUUUCAGUCUUGGUCUGUCCUGUGUUUUGUGAUUUCACACCGGAGGAAAUAUUGUAUCAUUUCUUAACGCAUGCGUUACUAAAUGGCAAUAAAAGAGGACUACGUGUCCU